rnacentral:rRNA from 1 species
GGGUUGUGAGGUUAAGCGACUAAGCGUACACGGUGGAUGCCCUGGCAGUCAGAGGCGAUGAAGGGCGUGCUAAUCUGCGAUAAGCGCCGGUAAGGUGAUAUGAACCGUUAUAACCGGCGAUACCCGAAUGGGGAAACCCAGUGUGAUUCGUCACACUAUCAUUAACUGAAUCCAUAGGUUAAUGAGGCGAACCGGGGGAACUGAAACAUCUAAGUACCCCGAGGAAAAGAAAUCAACCGAGAUUCCCCCAGUAGCGGCGAGCGAACGGGGAGGAGCCCAGAGCCUGAAUCAGCAUGUGUGUUAGUGGAAGCGUCUGGAAAGGCGCGCGAUACAGGGUGACAGCCCCGUACACAAAAGCGCAUGUGCUGUGAGCUCGAUGAGUAGGGCGGGACACGUGGUAUCCUGUCUGAAUAUGGGGGGACCAUCCUCCAAGGCUAAAUACUCCUGACUGACCGAUAGUGAACCAGUACCGUGAGGGAAAGGCGAAAAGAACCCCGGCGAGGGGAGUGAAAAAGAACCUGAAACCGUGUACGUACAAGCAGUGGGAGCACCCUUCGGGGUGUGACUGCGUACCUUUUGUAUAAUGGGUCAGCGACUUAUAUUCUGUAGCAAGGUUAACCGUAUAGGGGAGCCGGAGGGAAACCGAGUCUUAACCGGGCGUUAAGUUGCAGGGUAUAGACCCGAAACCCGGUGAUCUAGCCAUGGGCAGGUUGAAGGUUGGGUAACACUAACUGGAGGACCGAACCGACUAAUGUUGAAAAAUUAGCGGAUGACCUGUGGCUGGGGGUGAAAGGCCAAUCAAACCGGGAGAUAGCUGGUUCUCCCCGAAAGCUAUUUAGGUAGCGCCUCGUGAAUUCAUCUCCGGGGGUAGAGCACUGUUUCGGCUAGGGGGCCAUCCCGGCUUACCAACCCGAUGCAAACUGCGAAUACCGGAGAAUGUUAUCACGGGAGACACACGGCGGGUGCUAACGUCCGUCGUGAAGAGGGAAACAACCCAGACCGCCAGCUAAGGUCCCAAAGUCAUGGUUAAGUGGGAAACGAUGUGGGAAGGCCCAGACAGCCAGGAUGUUGGCUUAGAAGCAGCCAUCAUUUAAAGAAAGCGUAAUAGCUCACUGGUCGAGUCGGCCUGCGCGGAAGAUGUAACGGGGCUAAACCAUGCACCGAAGCUGCGGCAGCGAACGUAUCACCCAAGACAACUUUACGGAGUUGACGAUUGACGGAGCGAAGCGACGUCAAAGCGUUCAUUAAAGUCGAGUUGGCUUAGGGAUACGUUCGUUGGGUAGGGGAGCGUUCUGUAAGCCUGUGAAGGUGUGUCGUGAGGCAUGCUGGAGGUAUCAGAAGUGCGAAUGCUGACAUAAGUAACGAUAAAGCGGGUGAAAAGCCCGCUCGCCGGAAGACCAAGGGUUCCUGUCCAACGUUAAUCGGGGCAGGGUGAGUCGACCCCUAAGGCGAGGCCGAAAGGCGUAGUCGAUGGGAAACGGGUUAAUAUUCCCGUACUUGGUGUUACUGCGAAGGGGGGACGGAGAAGGCUAUGUUGGCCGGGCGACGGUUGUCCCGGUUUAAGCGUGUAGGUGUGUGUUCCGGUAAAUCCGGUUCACUUUAACACUGAGGCGUGACGACGAGGCACUACGGUGCUGAAGCAACAAAUGCCCUGCUUCCAGGAAAAGCCUCUAAGCAUCAGGUAACACGAAAUCGUACCCCAAACCGACACAGGUGGUCAGGUAGAGAAUACCAAGGCGCUUGAGAGAACUCGGGUGAAGGAACUAGGCAAAAUGGUGCCGUAACUUCGGGAGAAGGCACGCUGACACGUAGGUGAAGUGAUUUACUCACGGAGCUGAAGUCAGUCGAAGAUACCAGCUGGCUGCAACUGUUUAUUAAAAACACAGCACUGUGCAAACACGAAAGUGGACGUAUACGGUGUGACGCCUGCCCGGUGCCGGAAGGUUAAUUGAUGGGGUCAGCGCAAGCGAAGCUCCUGAUCGAAGCCCCGGUAAACGGCGGCCGUAACUAUAACGGUCCUAAGGUAGCGAAAUUCCUUGUCGGGUAAGUUCCGACCUGCACGAAUGGCGUAAUGAUGGCCAGGCUGUCUCCACCCGAGACUCAGUGAAAUUGAACUCGCUGUGAAGAUGCAGUGUACCCGCGGCAAGACGGAAAGACCCCGUGAACCUUUACUAUAGCUUGACACUGAACAUUGAGCCUUGAUGUGUAGGAUAGGUGGGAGGCUUUGAAGUGUGGACGCCAGUCUGCAUGGAGCCGACCUUGAAAUACCACCCUUUAAUGUUUGAUGUUCUAACGUGGACCCGUAAUCCGGGUUGCGGACAGUGUCUGGUGGGUAGUUUGACUGGGGCGGUCUCCUCCUAAAGAGUAACGGAGGAGCACGAAGGUUGGCUAAUCCUGGUCGGACAUCAGGAGGUUAGUGCAAUGGCAUAAGCCAGCUUGACUGCGAGCGUGACGGCGCGAGCAGGUGCGAAAGCAGGUCAUAGUGAUCCGGUGGUUCUGAAUGGAAGGGCCAUCGCUCAACGGAUAAAAGGUACUCCGGGGAUAACAGGCUGAUACCGCCCAAGAGUUCAUAUCGACGGCGGUGUUUGGCACCUCGAUGUCGGCUCAUCACAUCCUGGGGCUGAAGUAGGUCCCAAGGGUAUGGCUGUUCGCCAUUUAAAGUGGUACGCGAGCUGGGUUUAGAACGUCGUGAGACAGUUCGGUCCCUAUCUGCCGUGGGCGCUGGAGAACUGAGGGGGGCUGCUCCUAGUACGAGAGGACCGGAGUGGACGCAUCACUGGUGUUCGGGUUGUCAUGCCAAUGGCACUGCCCGGUAGCUAAAUGCGGAAGAGAUAAGUGCUGAAAGCAUCUAAGCACGAAACUUGCCCCGAGAUGAGUUCUCCCUGAGACUUUAGGUCUCCUGAAGGAACGUUGAAGACGACGACGUUGAUAGGCCGGGUGUGUAAGCGCAGCGAUGCGUUGAGCUAACCGGUACUAAUGAACCGUGAGGCUUAACCUUACAACGCCGAAG